AUGAGAACAAGCGUAUGAAGGGCAUCUGGUGGAUGCCUUGGCACUGAGAGGC
rnacentral:rRNA from 1 species